UCGACAGCAUCUUCAUCUUCUAUCCUCUUCUUCAUCAAUUACUUUUUCUUCACCAAAGAACCACACUAAUACCCACCAUAAACUACAAAUAUUUGAAGAAGAAGCUUGAUGGUUCACGUAGGAAGCUUUUGGGUUAGUUUUGGGUGCUAGGGAUUUUGCUCUAAGAGAGGAGAAGAUUACCCACCCCAUAAAGAGUAUUCACUUGAGCUAAAUGAGACUUGCCGAUCACGGACUCAUCCGGGCAUCUUGAAGUUGUUGGGAGCACUCAUCUUGAUCCUUCAUAGUUAUUCACAGGUAGCUGAGUAGGAGGUUGCUUCAGUUGCAGCUUGUACAGUUACUUCUUUUUGGUAGGCCUCCUACGGUUGGUGGCCAUGUUGAUGUCUUUUGUUGAUCUUUUUGGUAUUCUAUAGGGAAUAUGUAAUAGUUAUAUUUUGUAAAGUGUAAAAGUUCUACGAUGUAUUUGAUGAUGUUACUUCUUGGAUAAUGGAUAUGUGUAGAUUUGGAUCUCUGGCUGAAUGAUAUACCUC